CUACCCUCUGUACUGCUGCUGGGGGAGACGAAAGACUAGUCGUUUUCAAGCAUCGCUGCUUGUAGACGGAGCUGCAAGCAGCUGGGACCUCACGCCUAAGACUCAUUGUGCUUUAGCGAGCUUGAAGCCGUGCUCCGGGGAGCCCAGCUAGCAGCUGUAUUAACCUGCCGGCAGGAAUCUCUAAUCUAGGACAAAUUCAGCGCAACCAAGUUCACGGAUAGGAGCGGGACUGUCUAGACUUGGCACGAUUACCUUAGCCACCGUGAACAGGAGGGAACACAGGGGAAGACAGAAGCCAACCAGAAAACUAACAUGCACAGAUAUGCCCAAUUGCUGCCAAGGCUUCUCAUACUGCAGGAGGAGACAGACCCCUUAACAGCAAAGUGCAACACGAUGAGAGACCUGCUGGAACUCCUGCAGGUCUGGGGGAGGUCACACAUGGGAUGAAAACGGACUUGGACCCGAUCAAUACAUCAGACAUGGACGGCGCUUGCCUUGAUUUGACUGCUGCGCAUUUAAAGAACAUUUAUCUUUGCCAUGACCUCAUUCUCAGUGACAGCACGCCCAGGUGAUCUUCAGAUCUGAUGGACAGAUAGACUUUGAUAUCAAUGUUUUUUUUUUUCUACUUGAUCUUAUUAGUUUUAUAGCAAAUCCUUUCUUUCCAAACAAAAACAGGAUCAUAGGAGCUAAAGUGUGCCAGGACAUCACCAAUUACCCAUUUUGUACAUGUUGCUGUGUUUAGAUCUGGUUUCUGUAUUUAAAUAAAUGCUACUUUGGUGUUUGCACGUAGA